GAUGUAGUAGUAGUAGUAGUAGUAGUAGAAGUAGAAGUAGUAGUAGUAGUAGCAGUAGUAGUAGUAGUAGUAGUAGUAGUAGUAGUAGGUAGUUGUUGUUGUUGUUGUGGCUGUUAUAAUAGUAGUAGUAGUUUUGCAGAAGUAGUAGCAGUAGUAGUAGUAGUACUAGUAGUAGAAGUAAAAGUAGUAACUUUCAAAGCAAUGUCUACAAGUUUAAAUUCCUUAACCCUGUUCAAGGUGUAUACACACUCAAUAUUUAACUACAGUCCAGGUUUGCAAUUAACAAACUAUCUGAAAAGCCUGUGUGUGAGUCAGAUGUGUCUGCGGCUAAUCUAUUGGUUAUAAAAUAUCACAGCCUUUUCUGAUUGGCUGAGUUCAAAUACAGAAAGUUUACCUGUUAGAUUGAAAUUAUGGAGAAGGCGUAUUGAAGAAAAAAUGCAGGUUAAACUUGUUGUUAAAAUGAAGUUAAUGUAAUUUCACAAACAGUAGAGUUUAACUUAAUGAGUUUUUCCAUUAACAAGAAUUUCUUAAAAUAAUAAUGUAUGGAUAUCAUUUGGAAAGUGACAUGAAAUGUUGUUAAAAAGUGAUGCAUACAAGUGUUUCAGAAGUCUGUCUAGGAAUAGAACAACAACUGAAGCUGACCAGUUGAUGGAAGAUACUGCAGAGUUUGGCAGGGAAAUAACCCAAGACAGCAAAGCGGCUCUUUUGGCGCAUUUACCAAGAGGACUAACAUGGCCACAAAUUCAUGAGAUCAUGCAGUAGCCAUACAGUAUAACAGCAGUACAAGUUCUAUAAAAGAUCCACGACCUACUGAAGCCCAGCUUAUUAACAAAAAAGUUUUUAAAAACUGUAAUUUUAUCCCACCUGGGUACUUAUAAUUUACUAAGCUGCCUUCACAAGUUUUAGACUUGCAAUUAUAUUUUAAACUGUCACUUGGAAAGUUAUACAUGUACAUGCAUUCAUGUUCUGAAUUUCUUUGAACAAUAAAAUUAUAUAAAAGUAUUUUAAUGAAAUUGAGCACCUAAAUUGCAUUAAAGUGAAAGUAGCUGAGAAAAAUAGUAUCCUUAAUUGUUCUCAUGGGCAGCUACAUAUAUUGUGACAAACAUGAAGUA